rnacentral:rRNA from 1 species
AUUGAACGCUGGCGGCAGGCCUAACACAUGCAAGUCGAACGGUAACAGAAAGCAGCUUGCUGCUUUGCUGACGAGUGGCGGACGGGUGAGUAAUGUCUGGGAAGCUGCCUGAUGGAGGGGGAUAACUACUGGAAACGGUAGCUAAUACCGCAUAACGUCGCAAGACCAAAGAGGGGGACCUUCGGGCCUCUUGCCAUCGGAUGUGCCCAGAUGGGAUUAGCUAGUAGGUGGGGUAACGGCUCACCUAGGCGACGAUCCCUAGCUGGUCUGAGAGGAUGACCAGCCACACUGGAACUGAGACACGGUCCAGACUCCUACGGGAGGCAGCAGUGGGGAAUAUUGCACAAUGGGCGCAAGCCUGAUGCAGCCAUGCCGCGUGUAUGAAGAAGGCCUUCGGGUUGUAAAGUACUUUCAGCGGGGAGGAAGGGAGUAAAGUUAAUACCUUUGCUCAUUGACGUUACCCGCAGAAGAAGCACCGGCUAACUCCGUG